rnacentral:rRNA from 1 species
GUAGCGUGAAGGAUGAAGGUUUAUGGAUUGUAAACUUCUUUUAUACGGGAAUAACGGAUCCACGCGUGGAUUUCUGCAUGUACCGUAUGAAUAAGGAUCGGCUAACUCCGUGCCAGCAGCCGCGGUAAUACGGAGGAUCCGAGCGUUAUCCGGAUUUAUUGGGUUUAAAGGGAGCGUAGAUGGGUUGUUAAGUCAGUUGUGAAAGUUUGCGGCUCAACCGUAAAAUUGCAAUUGAUACUGGCAGUCUUGAGUACAGUUGAGGUAGGCGGAAUUCGUGGUGUAGCGGUGAAAUGCUUAGAUAUCACGAAGAACUCCGAUUGCGAAGGCAGCUUACUAACCUGUAACUGACAUUGAUG